GACGAACGCUGGCGGCGUGCUUAACACAUGCAAGUCGUACGGUAAGGCCCUUUCGGGGGUACACGAGUGGCGAACGGGUGAGUAACACGUGAGUAACCUGCCCACAACUUUGGGAUAACGCUAGGAAACUGGUGCUAAUACUGGAUAUGUGCUCCUGCUGCAUGGGGGGGGUUGGAAAGCUCCGGCGGUUGUGGAUGGACUCGCGGCCUAUCAGCUUGUUGGUGGGGUAGUGGCCUACCGAGGCGGCGACGGGUAGCCGGCCUGAGAGGGUGACCGGCCACAUUGGGUCUGAGAUACGGCCCAGACACCUACGGGAGGCAGCAGUGGGGAAUAUUGAACAAUGGGCGCAAGCCUGAUGCAGAAGCGCCGCGUGCGGGAUGACGGCCUUCGGGUUGUAAACCGAUUUCAGCAGGGACGAAGCUUUUUGUGACGGUACCUGCAGAAGAAGCACCGGCUAACUACGUG
rnacentral:rRNA from 1 species